UAGUGGUUUGGGUGCAGAAGACUGGUGGAUUAAGUAAGUGGUCUACUUUAGUUAAAUUCGACUGGGCGUUCCUCCGCCGUCAUCCCAAGCAAUAUGUCUCCGGUGGCCGCAGCCACUAGCUUCCAUGGCCUCCCCUUCCCUGAAUUCCCUCAAUACCCCUCUCUUCCCCGUCAUCACCUUCUCAUCCCUAAACCACCCUUUUCCCCUCUCUCCCACCCCACAACAUUUCUGAAGUUCCGGCCGGGUCAGCAUUAUCAAACAAGGCUUUUCAUUCGCCGUCCUCAGUACUCAAUUACAACAAAACCGCAAGAAUUUAGUGAUACUACCUAUGAUCGAGAGCUUCGGUACGUGCUUGAGCUUGCUACAGACGCUGAAUUAUAUGAGCUUGAGCAAAUUUUAUUUGGUACAAGUUAUUUUAGUCCGUUAUUGAAGUCGAUUGCAAAAAAGGAAGAUAUUGAUUACUAUAUGAUUGGAGAGGACCCGGAGGAAAGAGAUGAGUAUAUAUCCAUGUUGGAGAAGAGAUUCUUGUACCUUGCUGCCGAUGCGCGCUCUGUUUUAAGGGGUUGGAGGCCUUCCUAUAGGAACGUACUUCUUGGAGUGAGGAAAAAGUUAAAUAUACCUUGUUCAUCUAAAUUGGCUACCGAGGAUCUAGAAGCAGAGAUUUUUCUUCACAUGCUGCAAGACUAUUCAGGACAAGCAUCUGGCAGCUUAAAUGGGUCACAGGAAAAUGUGAAAAAUUCUGAUGGCAAUGGUACUUUAGAACAUGGACUCAGUCAGUGGAAGGUCCAAACAGCUACUGCUUUAAGGGAUGGGGCUGCAGAUCUCAGAUCAAUGAUAUUGAAGGGUGGCGGGGUGCUCACACUGGGCAAAUUGUAUGAGCUGCUAGCAAAGGGAUUAUCUGGAAAGAUGUUCCAGGAAGCUGCCAAGUAUCAGCUGAAGAAUGAAUUGAUUAAAGAGGGGGCAAAUUUGGCAGCUGUCAAUCUUGAAUCCAGAGCGGCUUUGCAUGCUGCAAAGCAGGUAAAGAGUGUAGCAGGUGCAGCCUCCCGAUAUCUGGGGAUUAGGAGUAUGAUGACACUUUUGGGCCCAAUACAAUACAAGAUUCAUGAUGUGAUGACAAAUGGUAGUUAUUGUACUGAUGAUACCAGUGUUAACAUCUGAGUGUUUCUUGUGGAUACAAAACAACAAACCAAAUGAGAGGAAUGUUCUUCUCACAGAAUGUUCUUCUCACAGUAAGGCUGCCAAAGCAUCUCAAAAGGUGCAAAGAAUUAUGUUACUCUGUUUUACAGGAAGUUACAUUUGUAAUCAGGCUCUGGGGAACUUUUCUCGCGGAUGUUGUCAUUCAAAUGCUCGGAACUGAUUAUGCUAGAAUCCUGCGGGCCAUCUAUGCAUUAGCACAGAUUCGCAUCCUCCACACCAAAUAGGUAUCCACAUGAUAUUAACUGAGAGCGGCCUGUGAAAAUUGUACAGCACGUCUUGUCAGAACUGACAUCUUGUUUUGCUUCACGUUGGAUUCCACCAAGGUAUUUGCUGAAAAGUUAUCCGCAUGUUGCAACUGGGAAGGUGGUUCCACUAUUUAAUCUGGCUAUUGUAUAUAGUACACAUAGACAGCUCUAGUUUCGUUCUUCAGAAAUUUUUUAUAGGAGAAGCUGGUUGUAUAUGUCUUAUUCGACUGCAGGACUGCUUUGACUGCAUUAUCUUAGUUAAGGCACACACUUUGCCUAAUAUGAGUACUUCUGCAAGAUAUUAUUCCAAGUUCUGUUACUUCCUUUGUCCCAAAAUUUCGAGGAUAGUUGUCUUUUGCUUCUUUUUUCCUCCUUGAUUAAUGUAUGUUGUCUUCUGUA